CACAUGACUCUCGGCAUCGGAUAUCUUGGCUCUCGCAUCGAUGAAGAACGUAGCAAAAUGCGAUACCUGGUGUGAAUUGCAGAAUCCCGUGAACCAUCGAGUUUUUGAACGCAAGUUGCGCCCGAGGCCUUUUGGUCGAGGGCACGUCUGCCUGGGCGUCACGU
rnacentral:rRNA from 1 species